rnacentral:rRNA from 1 species
UACAACAUAGCGUUAAUGCACCAGAUCCCAUUAGAACUCCGUAAUUAAGCGCGCUCAUGCUAGAGUAGUACUGAGAUGGGAGACCGCCCAAGAAUUCCUAGUGUUUUAC